CAGCUUUAGGAUUUAACUUUUUUUUGGAACCCUUCUUGCCUUUCUUUUUAUUGAUCUUAUUGAUAAGAAGAACUAGAGUCUUUUCACCUUUGAAAUAGUUCUCUGCUGCUUUCAACAUAUUCAACAGUUCAGGCAGGCUAAUGUUCAGUUUGUUCAUAUGGUAGUUUAUGACAAACUGAGAGAAAGAGUCGGAGAGAGACUGUAGGAUCAAAUCCUGGCUAAGUUCACCAUCCAUGAUAAAAUCUAAUUAUCUCAGAUGAGUGAUCAAAUCAAUCAUCUUUUGGACAUGAGUUUGCAUAGACGUGCCUUCAGUCGUGCAGGCACGAAAUAAACUGCUUAGAUAUCUCAUAUCUAGCAGUUCAACUUUAUUCUCCAUAUAACUCCUUAAGAUUAAGGAGUAUAGAGGAAACAUCCAUGUCCUCAUACUGUCUCGGAAGCUCAUAGCUCAUCGGGGCAAGUAUGAUGUAUUUGACAGUCACACUGUCAUCUUUCUACAUCUUAUAUGUGGCUCUUUCCUCCUUGAAAGCAUCUUCUCCGAUCGAAUUGGAUGCAGGUGUAUCCAGUACAUAGGAGAUUUUCUCCUGAGUAAGAACAAUUCUCAGAUUUCUUAGUCAAUCCAUAU
rnacentral:lncRNA from 1 species